rnacentral:rRNA from 1 species
AUGGCACUUGGAGUCUUUGUGAAUUGGAGGGGAAACACCAUCAACAAAGAGGUGCAUGGCGGAGUCAGAGCAGCAUGGUUUUUGUAUGUUCUGACUGUGGUAACAAACGUGGUUAUUGUCCCAAACUUGUUGAAUAUGGUUACUUAUCUCCAUGGAACAAUGCAUAUGGGGGUUUCGGGCUCGGUGACUACAGCUGCUAACUUUUUUGGCGCCACAUCCGGGUUUGCAAUGAUUGGAGCUUUCCUCUCUGACUCCUACAUAACUCGGGCCCGAACCAUGCUCCUCAUCGGUCCAUUUAUGUUUCUGGGAUACGGAUUGCUUGCACUGCAAGCCUACCUACCCUCCCUCCAUCCACCCCCUUGCAAUACUGAAGCAGAGCUAAACAAUUGCAAACAAGUCCAUGGCAAGAACGCUGCCUUGUUGUACGUAGGCUUGUAUCUGAGUGCAGUUGGUGAUGGUUGUAUACGGUCUUGCUUGCCGUCCCUUGGAGCAGACCAAUUUGACCAUGAAGAUCCCAAAGAGUCCCAUCAGCAGUCCAGCUUCUUUAACUGGUAUACCUUCGGAAUCUCUUUUGGAGGUUUCGUAGGGCUGAUUCUCAUAGUGUGGCUCCAGAACUACAAAGGGUGGGAUAUCGCACUAGGGUUGUGUGCCGUCAUAGUUCUGCUCGGAUUGCUCGUAGUUGCUGCUGGUCUCCCUUUCUACCGCAACCAAGUACCACAAGGAAGUCCUUUGACUCGAAUACUGCAGGUUCUUGUGGUUGCAUUUCGCAACAGGAAGACUGAAGUUGGUGAGGGGCUAGAAGCGCAUGAAAUGAGUAUUGAGGUGGGGACAGGUUACAUUGGCUCACUCUCUCAAACAAAUAGUCUGAAAUUUCUCGAUAAAGCUUGCAUCAACCGUGGCAAAAAGGGAGACUGGUCGGUCUGCAGUGUGACCAAGGUGGAGGAGACCAAGAUUGUGCUCCGCUUUCUUCCCAUCUUCAUCAGCUCCGUGAUUGGAUACAUAUCCAACAUCAUCCUCUUCACGUUCACCGUGCAGCAAGGUGGCUUGACCAACACAAGGCUUGGCAAGAUCCACGUUUCUCCGGCGACACUCUUCAUCAUCCCCAUCAUAUUCCAGAUGUUGAUGCUUGCAAUCUAUGAUCAGUUCAUCGUGCCAUUCUUGCGAAGGCGCACGGGCUACAGCGGCGGCAUCACUCACUUGCAGCGCAUCGGCAUAGGCUUUGCCUCCAUGAUACUUGCAUGCAUCAUCGCGGCGGUCGUCGAGAAAAAGAGGAAGGAAGCUACAGUGCAAAUGUCCCUCUUCUGGCUCGCACCUCAGUUCUUCCUGCUCGGCGUCUCGGACGUGACAUCGUUCACUGGCCUCCUUGAGUUCUUCAACAGUGAAGCACCACGGGGUAUGAAGUCGAUCGGCACGGCGUUGUUCUGGUGUGAUCUCGGGCUCGCGCCGUUGAUGGCCACGUUCCUGGUGGAUGCUGUGAACGGGGCGACAAGGCAUGGUCACCGGGUAGGCUGGCUCGAGGGCGCAAGCUUGAACACUAGUCAUCUUGACUGGUUCUACUGGGUUGUGGCUGUCGUCGGAUUGCUCGGCUUCUUCAACUACCUGUACUGGGCCAACAAGUAUGUGUACCAGAACAAUCAACGCGUUGCUAAUGUUGCGCCAACGGUUGAUCAGGACUCGCCUUGA